CACGUAGGAGGCGAGCGUUGUCCGGAAUCAUUGGGCGUAAAGAGCGCGCAGGCGGCUUGGCAAGUCGGGUGUGAAAUCCCGGGGCUCAACCCCGUGACUGCAUCCGAUACUGUCAGGCUAGAGGUAGGUAGGGGAGAUCGGAAUUCCUGGUGUAGCGGUGAAAUGCGCAGAGUAUCAGGAGGAACACCGGUGGCGAAGGCGGAUCUCUGGGCCGAUACUGACGCUGAGGAGCGAAAGCGUGGGGAGCGAACAGG
rnacentral:rRNA from 1 species